rnacentral:rRNA from 1 species
UACGAAGGGGGCUAGCGUUGCUCGGAAUCACUGGGCGUAAAGGGUGCGUAGGCGGGUCUUUAAGUCAGGGGUGAAAUCCUGGAGCUCAACUCCAGAACUGCCUUUGAUACUGGCGAUCUUGAGUCCGGGAGAGGUGAGUGGAACUGCGAGUGUAGAGGUGAAAUUCGUAGAUAUUCGCAAGAACACCAGUGGCGAAGGCGGCUCACUGGUCCGGUACUGACGCUGAGGUGCGAAAGCGUGGGGAGCAAACAGG